rnacentral:rRNA from 1 species
UACGUAGGGCGCAAGCGUUGUCCGGAAUUAUUUGGGCGUAAAGAGCUCGUAGGUGGUUUUGUCGCGUCCGCUGUGAAAACCCGGAGGCUCAACCGUCGGCCUGGCAGUGGUACGGGCAGACUAGGAGUGCGGUAGGGGAGGACUGGAAUUCCUGGUGUAGGCGGUGGAAUGCGCAGAUAUCAGGAGGAACACCGAUGGCGAAGGCAGGUCUCUGGGCAUUAACUGACGCUGAGGAGCGAAAGCAUGGGGAGCGAACAGG